rnacentral:tRNA from 1 species
UCUAAUAUGGCAGAAUAGUGCAACGAAUUUAAACCUCGUAAAUAAACUUACCAUUUUUUUAGAA